rnacentral:rRNA from 1 species
GAUGAACGCUGGCGGCGUGCCUAAUACAUGCAAGUCGAGCGAACGGACGAGAAGCUUGCUUCUCUGAUGUUAGCGGCGGACGGGUGAGUAACACGUGGAUAACCUACCUAUAAGACUGGGAUAACUUCGGGAAACCGGAGCUAAUACCGGAUAAUAUUUUGAACCGCAUGGUUCAAAAGUGAAAGACGGUCUUGCUGUCACUUAUAGAUGGAUCCGCGCUGCAUUAGCUAGUUGGUAAGGUAACGGCUUACCAAGGCAACGAUGCAUAGCCGACCUGAGAGGGUGAUAGGCCACAUGGGAACUGGGACACGGUCCAGACUACUACGGGAGGCAGCAGUAGGGAAUCUUCCGCAAUGGGCGAAAGCCUGACGGAGCAACGCCGCGUGAGUGAUGAAGGUCUUCGGAUCGUAAAACUCUGUUAUUAGGGAAGAACAUAUGUGUAAGUAACUGUGCACAUCUUGACGGUACCUAAUCAGAAAGCCACGGCUAACUACGUG